rnacentral:rRNA from 1 species
AAAUGAAUAGACGGGGGCCCGCACAAGCGGUGGAGCAUGUGGUUUAAUUCGAUGCAACGCGAAGAACCUUACCAGGUCUUGACAUCCAACGAAUCUUUACGAAAGUAGAGAGUGUCUUUAUAGAAACGUUGAGACAGGUGGUGCAUGGUUGUCGUCAGCUCGUGUCGUGAGAUGUUGGGUUAAGUCCCGCAACGAGCGCAACCCCUGCUAUUAGUUGCUAACAUUUCGGAUGAGCACUCUAAUGGGACUGCCUGUGACAAGCAGGAGGAAGGUGGGGAUGACGUCAAAUCAUCAUGCCCUUUAUGAUCUGGGCUACACACGUGCUACAAUGGAUGGUACAAAGAGAAGCGAGCCCGCGAGGUGGAGCGAAUCUCAAAAAGCCAUUCUCAGUUCGGAUUGUAGUCUGCAACUCGACUACAUGAAGUCGGAAUCGCUAGUAAUUGCGAAUCAGCAUGUCGCAGUGAAUGCGUUCCCGGGCCUUGUACACACCGCCCGU